GUGCCAGCAGCCGCGGUAAUACGGAGGGUGCAAGCGUUAAUCGGAAUUACUGGGCGUAUAGCGCACGCAGGCGGUUUGUUAAGUCAGAUGUGAAAUCCCCGGGCUCAACCUGGGAACUGCAUCUGAUACUGGCAAGCUUGAGUCUCUUAGAGGGGGGUAGAAUUCCAGGUGUAGCGGUGAAAUGCGUAGGAGAUCUGGAGGAAUACCGGUUGCGAAGGCGGCCCCCUUGGACGAAGACUGACGUUCAGGUGCGAAAGCGUGGGGAGCAAACAGGAUUAGAUACCCUUGUAGUCC
rnacentral:rRNA from 1 species